ACAAAGCUCAAGAAGCCGGCAGCCUCCUCCACAGCUUAUCCCCGUACAGCAGUGGAGCUCAGGGGAACUUUCUGAAUCGCACUGUAAACAAGGAGGAUGCAGCAGCCACGCAGAUGGGGGGAGGAUGAGGUGUCCCUGCUGCCUGUUCCCAGCACAGGAGGGCUUGGGUUGCACUGAGCCACAACUAACGGGAGGGCUGUGGCCCCUUGGCUUCUUCUGGAGCUGAGAAUGUGUGUGCACAUUUACCAACGAUCAGUUGAUGCACAGCAACUUCCCAUGUGUCUGAAUUGAUUCUACAGUAAUAUCCUCUUGCAACACAUUUAUUGGAAAUGACAUUACCUGAUCACGGACUUGUCUCCCUCUUGUGGCGUGCUGUAGUUAGAUGUCCAUCGUUGUUGAUGUCUACUGUCUCAGAGCUUUGUUCAGCAGAAGCCAGUCAUGCUUUGAGAAGCCUACCUAAAAGUUGUGUUAGUUUCUGUAAUGGACAUAAGACAAUUUAUACUCUGGACAUAUGAAUGAAAUAAAUAGAUAUAUAAAGGCUUGCUCUAAUAUGAG
rnacentral:lncRNA from 1 species